rnacentral:rRNA from 1 species
CCGAGCCUACGGGACGCAGCAGUGGGGAAUAUUGCACAAUGGGCGCAAGCCUGAUGCAGCCAUGCCGCGUGUAUGAAGAAGGCCUUAGGGUUGUAAAGUACUUUCAGCAGGGAGGAAGGUGAUAAGGUUAAUACCCUUGUCAAUUGACGUUACCCGCAGAAGAAGCACCGGCUAACUCCGUGCCAGCAGCCGCGGUAAUACGGAGGGUGCAAGCGUUAAUCGGAAUUACUGGGCGUAAAGCGCACGCAGGCGGUCAAUUAAGUCAGAUGUGAAAGCCCCGAGCUUCACUUGGGAAUUGCAUCUGA